CCUACGGGGGGCUGCAGUGGGGAAUAUUGGACAAUGGGCGAAAGCCUGAUCCAGCCAUGCCGCGUGUGUGAAGAAGGCCUUCGGGUUGUAAAGCACUUUCAGUGGGGAAGAAAGCCUUGGGGCUAAUACCCUCGAGGAAGGACAUCACCCACAGAAGAAGCACCGGCUAACUCCGUGCCAGCAGCCGCGGUAAUACGGAGGGUGCGAGCGUUAAUCGGAAUUACUGGGCGUAAAGCGCGCGUAGGCGGUCUGAUAAGCCGGUUGUGAAAGCCCCGGGCUCAACCUGGGAACGGCAUCCGGAACUGUCAGGCUAGAGUGCAGGAGAGGAAGGUAGAAUUCCCGGUGUAGCGGUGAAAUGCGUAGAGAUCGGGAGGAAUACCAGUGGCGAAGGCGGCCUUCUGGACUGACACUGCCGCUGAGGUGCGAAAGCGUGGGUAGCAAACAGGAUUAGAUACCCUAGUAGUC
rnacentral:rRNA from 1 species